rnacentral:tRNA from 1 species
UGCCGGAUCGUCUAACGGUAGGACACAGGAUUCUGGCUCCUGUAAUCUAGGUUCGAGUCCUAGUCCGGCAG